rnacentral:lncRNA from 13 species
UGCCAUCGACUAAUAGCUUAUUGUAGAAAGCUCAUACUCAUAAUAGCUUAUUUAGAAGAAAGGCUUUAAUGUUGUGAUUACCUUUAAAAAAGAAAAAAAGCCCAAUUUUUUAUAAAUUCUAAAAGAUUUUGUAGACGUAAUGGCUACAGUGGAAGAAGAGGUUACAGAUUUACUUUGGG